rnacentral:rRNA from 1 species
UGAGGAAUAUUGCGCAAUGGGGGCAACCCUGACGCAGCAACGCCGCGUGAGUGAGGAAGGUUUUCGGACCGUAAAGCUCUGUCGAGCGGGAAGAAAUGCAUAGUGGCUAAUAUCCAUUAUGCUUGACGGUACCGCUAAAGGAAGCACCGGCUAACUCCGUGCCAGCAGCCGCGGUAAUACGGGGGCUGCUAGCGUUGUUCGGAAUCAUUGGGCGUAAAGAGCGUGUAGGCGGCUGGAUAAGUCAGAUGUGAAAGCCCUGGGCUUAACCCAGGAAGUGCAUUUGAAACUGUUCAGCUUGAGUAAGGGAGAGGAAAGUGGAAUUCCUGGUGUAGUGGUGAAAUUCGUAGAUAUCAGGAGGAACACCGGUGGCGAAGGCGGCUUUCUGGCCCUAUACUGACGCUGAGACGCGAGAGCGUGGGUAGCAAACA